rnacentral:rRNA from 1 species
UACACAUGCAGUCGAGCGGGGGAAGGUAGCUUGCUACCGGACCUAGCGGCGGACGGGUGAGUAAUGCUUAGGAAUCUGCCUAUUAGUGGGGGACAACAUCUCGAAAGGGAUGCUAAUACCGCAUACGUCCUACGGGAGAAAGCAGGGGAUCUUCGGACCUUGCGCUAAUAGAUGAGCCUAAGUCGGAUUAGCUAGUUGGUGGGGUAAAGGCCUACCAAGGCGACGAUCUGUAGCGGGUCUGAGAGGAUGAUCCGCCACACUGGGACUGAGACACGGCCCAGACUCCUACGGGAGGCAGCAGUGGGGAAUAUUGGACAAUGGGGGGAACCCUGAUCCAGCCAUGCCGCGUGUGUGAAGAAGGCCUUAUGGUUGUAAAGCACUUUAAGCGAGGAGGAGGCUACUCUAGUUAAUACCUAGAGAUAGUGGACGUUACUCGCAGAAUAAGCACCGGCUAACUCUGUGCCAGCAGCCGCGGUAAUACAGAGGGUGCGAGCGUUAAUCGGAUUUACUGGGCGUAAAGCGUGCGUAGGCGGCUUAUUAAGUCGGAUGUGAAAUCCCCGAGCUUAACUUGGGAAUUGCAUUCGAUACUGGUGAGCUAGAGUAUGGGAGAGGAUGGUAGAAUUCCAGGUGUAGCGGUGAAAUGCGUAGAGAUCUGGAGGAAUACCGAUGGCGAAGGCAGCCAUCUGGCCUAAUACUGACGCUGAGGUACGAAAGCAUGGGGAGCAAACAGGAUUAGAUACCCUGGUAGUCCAUGCCGUAAACGAUGUCUACUACCCGUUGGGGCCUUUGACGCUUUAGUGGCGCAGCUAACGCGAUAAGUAGACCGCCUGCCUACGGUCGCAAGACUAAAACUCAAAUCAAAUGCCAGGGGCCCGCACAACCCGGGGAGCUUGACGUUUAAUUCGAUGCAACGCGAAAAACCUUACCACGCCUUGACAUAGAAGAAACUUUCCAGUGAUGGAUUGGUGGCUUCGCGAAACAAGAAACUGGUGCUGCAUGGGUGUACUGACCUCGUGUCGUGAGAAGGUGGGAAAAGACCCCCAACCAGCCCUUCCCUUUUCCUUACAUGCCAGCAUUUCGGAAGGGAUGUUUAAGGAUUGUGGCAGUGACAAACUGGUGGAAGGCGGCGACGACCUCAACCCUUCAUGGGCUUUACGGGCGGGGUUACACACGUGCUAGAAUGGUCCUUACAAAGGGUUGCUAAACAGCGUUGUGUUGCUUUUCUCCAAAACCCGAUCGUUGUCUCGUGAUUGGUGUGUGCAACUCGAGGGGAGGAAGUCGGAAUCGCUACUAAUCGCGGAUGAGAAUGGCGCGGUGAAUACCUUCCCGCGCGUUGUACUCACCGCCCGUCACACCAAGGGAGAAUGUUGCACCAGAAGUAGCUAGCCUAACUGCAAAGAGGGGGGUUAGAGA